rnacentral:lncRNA from 1 species
AAAAAAAUUAAAGUUAGGACUAUUUAUUCAUUGACUUUUACAUUAAAAUUAUAUAUAAUACAAUUUAUCAAUAUAUUGUCUAAACUAGACAAUUUUUAUUUAUUUAUCUACCAUUUAUCUGCACGGAUUAUACUAAAGUAUAACCUAAGAAAAAAAAGUACACAUACUUGCGUUUGAUCAAUGAUAAACCACACGAAAUUAAGACGCCAAAAGAGUAACGUAGAUAAAACAAGUACUUGAUCUUGAAGAGGAGUACGUACUCAUGGAACCUCAUUAUAUUUCAACCUCCACAUCCACCACAUCCACCUCCACAUCCGCCACCACAACCGGCCGUUCCUCCACUGCCAAUAUACCGGUGACCACCACUCUUUUUGGUUACUGCCGGUUUACCCAAGCCGCCACCUUUAUAUUUGAUGAUAUUGCCCGUAGUUUUCUUCUUUUUACCUCUUUGGACAUCGCGGUAAGGUUUUUGAGGUGGAGGCGACGUGACAGUAGAGGAAGGCUUAGUUUUUUUCUUCUUGCCACACAGACACCACAUUAUUAAAUGGUAUAUAUAUUGGCAAUAACAGUAUAUGCUUUGGGUUUAAUUCUUUGUAUUUUAGAAAAUUUUGUUGGAGUUUUUACUGUCUUUAUAAUAUCAGAUUGCGUAAACUGAACACUGCAAAAUAUAUUUUCAAAGGUAUAGUUUUUGUGCCC